rnacentral:lncRNA from 1 species
AGCUUUGCCGCCCAUUUGUUUGACCACAGUUGUUGACUUUCUUUUUUUUGGAUUUGAUGGUGCCGUGUAUUCUUCUAUAAGUAACAUCCACGUGGGGCAAAUGGUUAAUUCUACACCGUUGGAUUAAUGAGAGAAUGGCUGCUCAGUUUUCAAAAAGUAUCUCUUGGAUCGGAAGAUAAAGCAGCAGUGUCCGUACAUCC